rnacentral:rRNA from 1 species
UACGUAGGGGGCAAGCGUUGUCCGGAAUCAUUGGGCGUAAAGAGCGCGUAGGCAGCAUUGCAAGUCGGAUGUGAAAUCCCUCGGCUUAACCAAGGAAGUGCAUCCGAAACUGCAGUGCUUGAGUACUUAAGAGGAUCGCGGAAUUCCCGGUGUAGAGGUGAAAUUCGUAGAUAUCGGGAGGAACACCAGUGGCGGAGGCGGCGAUCUGGGAAGAUACUGACGCUGAGGUGCGAAAGCGUGGGGAGCAAACAGG